GUCACUGUGGCGCAGGGGUUAGCAUGUCUGCCUUUGACGCCGAACGCCUGGGUUCGAAUCCCGGCGUGAACA
rfam:Stomoxys calcitrans breed 8C7A2A5H3J4 unplaced genomic scaffold Scaffold54, whole genome shotgun sequence.